GAGGUCGUGGUGUAGUGGCUGCACGGCGGACUUUUAAUCCGCUUCGAGAAGGUUCGAUUCCUUCCGGCCUCA
rnacentral:tRNA from 1 species